AGCGGGCGAGACAGACGGCAAGUCGCCGGGCUCAUAACCCGGAGGUAAGUGGUUCGACUCCACUGCCCGCUACCA
rnacentral:tRNA from 3 species